rnacentral:rRNA from 1 species
AGAGUGAACGCUGGCGGUAGGCCUAACACAUGCAAGUCGAACGGCAGCACGGUAAGAGCUUGCUCUUAUGGGUGGCGAGUGGCGGACGGGUGAGGAAUACAUCGGAAUCUACCUUUUGGUGGGGGAUAACGUAGGGAAACUUACGCUAAUACCGCAUACGCCCUUCGGGGGAAAGCCGGGGACCAGCAAUGGCCUGGCGCUGAUAGAUGAGCCGAUGUCGGAUUAGCUAGUUGGUGAGGUAAUGGCUCACCAAGGCGACGAUCCGUAGCUGGUCUGAGAGGAUGAUCAGCCACACUGGAACUGAGACACGGUCCAGACCUCCGUACGGGAGGCAGCGAGGUGGGGAAUAGUUGGACGAAUGGGCGCAACGGCCUGAUCCAGCCAUACCGCGUGGUGAAGAAGGCCUUCGGUUGUAAACGUCCCGUUUUGGUUA